UGGGGGAUUUUGCACAAUGGGCGCAAGCCUGAUGCAGCGACGCCGCGUGAGGGAUGAAGGCCUUCGGGUUGUAAACCUCUUUCGCUGGGUUGAAAGGCCAUGCUUUGGGUGUGGUUGAUUUGAACUGGUAAAGAAGUACCGGCUAACUACGUGCCAGCAGCCGCGGUAAUACGUAGGGUACUAGCGUUGUCCGGAUUUAUUGGGCGUAAAGGGCUUGUAGGUGGUUUGUCGCGUCUGUCGUGAAAUCCUGUGGCUUAACCAUGGGCUUGCGGUGGGUACGGGCAGGCUUGAGUGCGGUAGGGGAGGCUGGAAUUCCUGGUGUAGAGGUGGAAUGCGCAGAUAUCAGGAGGAACACCGGUGGCGAAGGCGGGUCUCUGGGCCGUUACUGACACUGAGGAGCGAAAGCGUGGGGAGCGAACAGG
rnacentral:rRNA from 1 species